rnacentral:rRNA from 1 species
CAGUCGCCGCGGGAAUACGUAGGUGGCAAGCGUUGUCCGGAAUUAUUGGGCGUAAAGCGCGCGCAGGCGGAUCAGUCAGUCUGUCUUAAAAGUUCGGGGCUUAACCCCGUGAGGGGAUGGAAACUGCUGAUCUAGAGUAUCGGAGAGGAAAGUGGAAUUCCUAGUGUAGCGGUGAAAUGCGUAGAUAUUAGGAAGAACACCAGUGGCGAAGGCGACUUUCUGGACGAAAACUGACGCUGAGGCGCGAAAGCCAGGGGAGCGAACGGGAUUAGAUACCCCCGUAGUCCCUGUCUCUUAUACA